AUUGAACGCUGGCGGCAGGCCUAACACAUGCAAGUCGAACGAGUGGCGGACGGGUGAGUAAUGUCUGGGAAACUGCCCGAUGGAGGGGGAUAACUACUGGAAACAGUAGCUAAUACCGCAUACCAUCGGAUGUGCCCAGAUGGGAUUAGCUGGUGGGUGGGGUAACGGCUCACCUAGGCGACGAUCCCUAGCUGGUCUGAGAGGAUGACCGGCCAAACUGGAACUGGGACACGGUCCAGACUCCUACGGGGGGCAGCAGUGGGGAAUAUUGGAAAAUGGGCGCAAGCCGGAGGCAGCCAUGCCGCGGGGAUGAAGAAGGCCUUCGGGUUGUAAAGUACUUUCAGCGGGGAGGCGUUACUCGCAGAAGAAGCACCGGCUAACUCCGUGCCAGCCGCCGCGGUAAUAC
rnacentral:rRNA from 1 species